AGGGAGCGAGUCUCUAUUCAAGCAAGUGUACACAGAGGGGAUCGUGCGCUAGCUUUCUAGUUGGCCGGUCCAGUGAUCGAAAAUGUGGUACUACAACCUAGCCAUGUGGAUUGUUAACCCCAAAGGUGAAGCAGCAUAGAUUGGACAUUGACGAAGCGGUCGAUGAUGUUAUUCCAAUUGCGAUUGCGCACAAAUUCCGGGAGAGAUUGGCUGAGCAAAGGGCCAAGACGAGUACCGCUCAUGAAGAGGCAGAUCAAAGGAAACCGAGGGGGAAGAAAGUCGACCAUCUCUAUUGUCAACGGACCCCAUCUGAGUUCCUUAAUUGGUUAAAAAGCCUAACUCCACGGCAGAAGAAAGCCGUUCGAGAACUGGGUUUCGGAACUAUCAUGCAUUUCAAUAUAAAUGAAAUUCUGGGAUACCUAGCCUCCUGGGUUCUAAACACAUUUAAUCUGGCCGACUUGUGGCUUGGUAUGUUUUGAACAAUAUGUAAUGUGCUUCUUGCAAACAGAAUCAUAUUUUGGUAUUAGUGUAUGAUUUCAUCAACGCAAAA